rfam:Picea glauca, whole genome shotgun sequence.
AAAUAGGUUUUAUUGAAAACCAUACAAGUGAAAGUAAGUGUGGCUUU